rnacentral:rRNA from 1 species
CAGUCGCCGCGGGAAUACGAAGGGUGCAAGCGUUACUCGGAAUUACUGGGCGUAAAGCGUGCGUAGGUGGUGGUUUAAGUCCGUUGUGAAAGCCCUGGGCUCAACCUGGGAAUUGCAGUGGAUACUGGGUCACUAGAGUGUGGUAGAGGAUAGUGGAAUUUCCGGUGUAGCAGUGAAAUGCUUAGAGAUCGGAAGGAACAUCUGUGGCGAAGGCGACUAUCUGGGCCAACACUGACACUGAGGCACGAAAGCGUGGGGAGCAAACAGGAUUAGAUACCCCGGUAGUCCCUGUCUCUUAUAC